AAGUAGCUAGACCUGCACAGCUUCCCCAGCCCAAUAGCAGUCAUGGCACCCUUAAAGAGGAUGAUUUUUAAUUACAAACAAAAGAAUUUAGUCUAACCAACCCACAAUUAAACGGGAUAUGCGACAUGAAAAAGAUUCAGGACGCAUUGUUAUAGAUUUAGGUUCACCCCGGCACCUUAUUACCUAAUUGCAACCCUGCUGAUUUCUUGCAUAAAAGAUUUUUCAAUUUUAUUUUGCAUGUAUGAUGAACUUGCAAGAAGCAUGAAUAUCUUCUAGUUUCUGUAAUCGGUCAUGCCGAAACCGGGUAGCGAGGCCCAAAACACGAGAAUGGUCGAUGAUGAUCCACCGACGCUGAUGCUCCUGUAUUCAUCUUA
rnacentral:lncRNA from 1 species